rnacentral:rRNA from 1 species
UUUUGUGGUCAAGUUUUUAAGAGCACACGGUGGAUGCCUUGGCAUUAGGAGCCGAAGAAGGACGUAGGAAUCUGCGAUAAGCCUGGGGGAGUCGAUAACCGGACUGUGAUCCCAGGGUGUCCGAAUGGGGAAACCCCGCCAAGC